ensembl:lncRNA
GGUAUUUUGGAUUGUUCCAAAUCCUCCAGAAUCAACUCUUUAAACGAAGAAAUAUGCUAAGCCUUGGUGUUUCGAUCACGGGAAUAAGAAAUAUUGCUAAGAAGCAGCACUUGCUUCUGCCAGUGGUGCUGCCAGCUGCUCUUGUCCAAAAAAAGAUGAGCGACUGAAUAAAAAGGGAGAAUGUGAAUAUGAAACGACACCAAAAGGUAGACUAUCCCGCCCAAAAAAGUUACUAAUGCAGCUUAACAGUACUCCUUGCGAGCAGCACUGGCUUAUGUAAAAACAUGCGCCUUAACUAAUCAUUAACCUUGGGAAGGUGAUGGAGGAGAAACUUGGUCAGUGUGCAGGAAACGCCUCGUGCUCAGUUCUCCCAGGAAAAGCUGAAACUCAUUGCACACAACAUUUCCAUGAAAUCAGCUUGAAAAUUUCAUUGCCUUUCCGUGCAUUCGAUAAUAAACGCCUACGGGAAAGCCGACAGUGCCGACAAGUUCGUAUCCUUUCUUUGAGCCACAGAAAAGACUCAAACAACUGUAACAACGUCGUCAGGUAUCGAAUUCUGAUCCCUGAAGCCAAGGGGACUUUCAUACUAACAAGGCUUCUCUGAACCUAACAAGGUUUCUCUGAAUCAUGCCCAUUAAUUAAAUCCAUUUUUCUUCCUUGCGGUACUUAGAUACCACAGGUCCCCUUAAAAACACUGACCUUCCACAUGCCAGACACAUCCCUGAAACCCUGCUGCAGUGAGUCAGGAGAGGGAAAAGCUACACCCACGGGUUCCUCUGAAGAGGGCCUGGCAAAAAAAACCAAAACAUUUCCCUGUCGCCACGUGCGGGAGAGCCAGCCCCACAGGGACCUCCAGCGCUGGCAGGGGAGGUGAGCACGGUGCUCCCUGCUUACAGUGCACAGUGCGUCCCGGUGCCAAGACGUCCUGCUGCCCCUCUCCCGUGCCUAAGUGCUGCUGUUCCUCCUCGGUAAGGUCUGCCUCGUGCUCCCCCAGGUGCUGCUGCUUUACUUCCAAGCACCAGUACUGCUCCUAGCCGUGCCACCCCGCCACCAGCUACCUGUCUAGUACGGCCUCCAAGCACGGCAUUUACUUUUAAAAUCAUUUCUUGCACUACAACAAAUCCCUCUCUAUUUUCUCCUCGCGCUCCUGCAGUUUGUCAAUACCUUUGCAGCAGCACGCUACCUCAAACGCCACUUCCAGCCAGACGCAGGGCUCAAUUACCCGUGCACGUCAGUACUUUAAUCACGCGGGACUGCCAAAUUGUUUUUCCCUUAGCCCCAGCCAUCUCUCUACAGCCCGCAUCUCUCUACGGACUCCAGUAUUAUUGUAACCCUCCCUGAAACCCGUGCCCUCCCUGGGGACAGACUGCUUUCUGAAGGAAUCCUUUUCGGGCUCCUGUAACGGAAACGCGUACGAACAUCGGGCUGGAGACAGAGCGAGGUGAACAGAGACAAGCUGCACCAAGGCUUCAGAACGCGGCCCCACAGCGCGUGUAACCCACGGCACGGGUACGGACAGUAAGCGGUGGAGGAACCGAGCGGAGGAUUCCUGCAACGAAACGCUUUUAAAACCAUUCAGAACUCCACUUAGCCUUUGUGAAGUA